CGAGUAAACCAGAAGGCAGCGCAAUUGGGGCGAUGCCCCAAUUGUGAGGAAAGUCCGGGCUUCACAAGGGAAUGGUAACUGCUAACGGCAGCCGGGGGCAACCCCAGGGACAGUGCAACAGAAAUAGACCGCCGAACGAGCCCUUCGGGCUGCGUGGCAAGGAUGGAAAGGCGAGGUAAGAGCUCACCAGCGCACUGGCGACUUUGCGGCUAUGUAAACCCUACCAGAAGCAACACCCAUAUGGGGCGGGGGCAAUCCUACUCUCCGAUCAAAAAGGCGAUAAGAUUCGCGCGGGAUUUUUUCAUCGCGCAAGGCGGACGAUUGAGCAACCCUUGAUGGGUUGCGAUUGACUGGCGCCGCAGCGCUGUUUCGGAGCGCAACCGGGCAAAGCCCGGCGCUUGGCGCGAAGAUGGACAACGCGGUGCGGUGGAAAAAGGCCCGCGAAGACAUCGACUUUUUGAUCGGAGAGUAGGAUGAGUUCCAAGCGUACCCUGCGCGCCCCGGAGGUGGCCCCGAGCCGCCCUGGCAACAGGCGGCCCAGAUAGAUUGCCUUUUAAUACAGAACCCGGCUUACGGUUUGGUCGCAAA
rnacentral:RNase_P_RNA from 1 species